UUCGGGAUCGAGUAUUUCCAGC
rnacentral:siRNA from 1 species